GCGGCGGGCUCGCUGUGGUUUCACAAAAGAUGCUACAGAACCAGAACCGGCCAUGCGCGUUGGGCUGGAAAGGCCUGGUGAGCGCAGGCCGCCCGCCCAGGCCGGAGCCAUUUCCCUUGCCUGCGAGCGCCCCCUGAACGGCAGAUCACGUCUUGCAACAUCUCCACACAAUGCCACAGGAAAACAGCCCCAUUGAGUUCCGUCCCCUUGAUGGCUGGACGUGGGUCAUUCCUUACAACAAGAAAGGAUGGGCUUCAGCACCUGUGGCACCGGCACCGGCACCGGGUGCGAUGGACACACAGUCGGCUGGCCAGUUGCUCUGUCAGCUAUCCCGAGCAGAGAGGACGCAGGCCGGACAUGCCUCCCCGAGCAAGACGAUGAAGGGCCCUGACCGUGGGCUUUUCUGGGGAGGGAACCACACACGUGCGGCCUCUGACGCUGCCUGUGGAUGAGUGAAGAACAGCCCCAGGCCGCGGCCUUCACGCACCCACACCGCAGCCCAGCAAGCGCCAGCCCACUCUGCCCCGACACUGAGGCCAGAGGAAGAGACGGGGGAAGA